AGCUUCUUCCUUACACUGGGAUAACUGGACUGAAAAAAGUAAAGAAACUCCAACGAGUUACUAGAUUUUGAACUUCUGUGAUCUGCUUGGCCUGACCAUACCAUGAUGCAUAAACCUUAAGACAGAGUUGGUACAGUCUUCACCAGCAAUGUCUCCUUGAAUGGCCUCCACAAUGAAUGCAAGUUAAAAAAAGUUCUCAAGCUGCAGAGAUACCAGCAGAAAAAAAGAUGUACCUGGGCAACUGCAGGUCUGUCUCUACUAUCCAGAGAUGUGCAUAGCCCCAUCUAUUCCUACAGGCAGAAACCAGCGAAGCUUGCACAGACUGGAGACAUUCUUAUCCCUGCAUCUCUAUUUGCACUGCAUCACAUUACCUCACUUCCAGCCAAUCCAACCGUUUCAUGCCUCAACACUCUCCUCUCACCUAGCACAUACCCACCAGAGCAGCUGAUUGCCAUGGCAAACACGGCAGAGCUCAGAAAAUUAUAUACGGCCAGCAGUUAGCAUUUGUGAAAAUGCAAAUAAAAACAACGCAAUUUCAGGGGUGGGCUAGAGUUUGGCAUGAGUAUCUUCUGCUUGCAAAAUUUAAAGAAACACAGAGCAACAUGCACACAAUGAACAGCAGAGAGUUAUAUCCUGAUAAAUAGGUUUUCCUGAUUUCACAGCCCAGUUACAAUAAUUAGGAAUAA